CGGAAAUUGAAUUAAAAGACUAACAACAAUGAAAACUAACUAAAUAAUAUAAUUUAAUAAUGGGGGGUAGUUUGGUUUUAACGAGAAGUAAAUUAAACUUAAAUAAAUUACAGAAUUGACAAAAGCAUGAAUUAAGGUGAAAUGAUAGGUGACAGACUAGCUAGAGGGUUCUUCUCCACACAUGACACAUAUGCAACCUAAAUUGAUUUUCAGUUGUUCUUUCAAUAAAUUGUAAAUCUCAAUGCCCCAAAUUAACUAGAUCGACCAAUUAAUUCUCAGAUUUCCCUAGAUUCAUUGAAUUGAAUGGGAUACGCAUUACAACCAAAUUAUUCUUAUCAAGGACCCUAACUAUGGAAUACGCAUGAUAGAGACACAUAUCAAAGAUCAUUAAGUUUAAUGAAAAUCAUAAGCAUUGACGAGGCAUUCAUAACUAUGGGAUACGCAUGUUACUCUUGCCAAGAAUUUACUUAACGUGAUUGUGACUAGCAACCUUCACUACUUGUGAAUAUAAGUUUAUAACGAUUAGGUGAAAUUCACUUAUAUUCUAGCAUCAAAUUCAUGCAUGUAAAUUAAGUAUGCAUUCUUAAUCGACAUACAAAAAUAAGUUAUCAAUCAAGCAGUUAAGCAAAUUAAAUCACAACUCAGAAAUCACAACUAAAGGUAAUCAAUUCAUAUUACAAACAUAUUCAUGGCUUUGAAUUAACCUCUAGCCAAAAUAAAUUUAGUUACACAUUAUUUUCUAAUUAAACCAGAAAUUAAACAUGAGUUUGAGAAAAUAUACAACCCUUUUAUUUUUCUUCUGCUGCCGUCUCCCUCUGACCUGCUUCUCCCUGCACGUCUUCUCUCCCUUGGCUGUCGCCCCCCCUCUUUUCUGCGCUGCCUUGGGCAGCUUAUCUCCUUUAUAUUUUUUUUAUUCUGUUUUUCUCUCUCUCUCUCUCCCGUUCUCACGCUGCUCAAAGCAGCCUUCUUGGACUCUCUGACCUCACGUUUCCUGCUUCUCUCCUGUUUUUCUGUGCAGCCUUGCUGCUUCUCUCUCCCGCCACCUGUCUCUCAAGCUGCCAAAGGCAGCUUCUAUCCUCCCUAGCGUCCU
rnacentral:lncRNA from 1 species